CAGGGCCACACCUGCGGCAUAUGGAAGCUCCCAGGCUAGGGGUCCAAUCAGAGCUGUAGCCGCUGGCCUACCCACAGCCACAGCAAUACCAGGUCCGAGUUUCAACUGUGACCUACCCACGGCUUAUGGCAACAACGAGCCUUAACCCACAGAGCGAGGCCAGGGAUUGAACCUGCGUCCUCAUGAAUCCUGGUAGGGUUUGUUACUGCUGAGUCACAGCGGGAACUCCUGGCCCUUCUCAAUAAGGGUCUUCUGGUCAGAAGGGCCAUCAUCAAAAAGUCUACAAACAAUAAAUGCUGGAGAAGGUGUGAGGAAAAGGGAAUCCCACACUGCUGGUGGGAAUGUAAAUUGGUGCAACCACUGCAGAAAACAGUAUGGAGAGUCCACAGAAAACUAAAAAUACAAUUACCAUUUGGUCCGGCAAUCCCACUCCUGGGCGUCUAUCCAGAGAAAACUAUGACUCGAAAAGACACAUGUACUCCAAGGUUCACUGCAGCACUAUCUGCAAUAGCCAAGACAUGGAAACAACCUAAAUGACCAUCAACAGAGGAGUGGAUAACAAAGAUGUGGUACUAUACACAAUGGAAUAUUACUCAGCCAUUAAAGGAAAGAAACAACGGCAUUUGCGGCAACAGGGAUGGACCUAGAAAUUAACAUGCUAAGUGAAGUCAGUCAGUCAAUGAGACGCCAACAUCAAAAGCUUUCACUGACAUAAGGAAUCUAAAAAAAAGACACAAUGAACUUCUUUGCAGAACAGAUACUGACUCACGGACUUUGAAAAACUUGUGGUUUCCAAAGGAGACAGAUUGGGGGGUGGGGGGAUGCACUGGGGGUUUGGGAUGGAAAUGCUGUAACACUGGGUUGUGAUGAUCAUUGUACAGCUAUAAAUGUAAUUAAAUUCACUGAGUAAUUUUAAAAAAUCAAUGAAGGGGAUGAUCCAAGCCCUGGGAAGAGAGACCGAUGCCUGCCCCCAGCCCCACCCCCAAGAUUCACAAGGCUAUGUUCAAUUUCAAUGAAAAAACCAAAAAGUGGGCCUAAAAAUGCUUUCAUGUUUCCUGAAUUGGUUGUUGGAUUAAAAAAAAAAAAAAAUUGCUCACCUCUGAACUAGAUGGCCUCCGAGGACAGGAGGAGGCUAUAGCAGCCGGGCUCAGUGGCUGUGAUGACGCAGCUGGGGGAGCAAGCAAGGGGCUUCCCACAGGGGCUGGGGGCACCAAAGGCUUCUGGGAGGGAGGAAGAUGGGGUUUUCAGCAUUCUGCUCCUGUCCCACUGACGCACAGAGAGCAAGAUGCUUCUUUAGGACUCACCUCAAAUAACCCCUAAGACGCAUGGUCUGGGGCGGGGCAGGGAAUCCACCCUCUGUGCCAGAAAGAAAGAGGAAAAGAAACCUUUCCAAGGAGCUGCCACCUCCGAGCAUGGGGCCUGAGGGAGCAGCAGCUCAACCCUGCAAGCAGAGCGGCCCUGAAAUUCUUGGAACAGGGCUUGGUUCAAAGAAGGAUAGGAACAGCCUGCAUAGACUCUUCCUUCUGCAGGAGACACAGGGGCCAGGAGGCGGGCUGAGGAGGAGGCAGCCAAGGCCCCCAGCCUCAGGCCUGCUCAGUCAGGCUCAGGGCUUCCCACACGGGCCACCCCCAGGGGAGGAACAGAGGGUGGCCAGCCUCCUGGGGGUCUGGUGGGGGGCGGGGGUGUCCAGGACUCAGGCUGGAAGAUUCUGAAAGGCAGGAAGGAUACCUGCAAGGGGGUGAGAGCUGGGCUGUGUGAGGGGAGGCUGGCCUGGGAUUCAGAUGGAGAGCCAUAAAACAGAGAGAUUUCUGAAAACUCCUAGGGCCUCUUAUAAAUACAUUAGGAAGCAGGAUGGCAUUCAAGGAUCUUUUACUACCCAGUGGACUUUGAAGGAUUUGUUUGGUUUGGUUUUUGUUUUUGUUUUUUUAACAACACCCUCGGCUUGCAGAAGUUCCUGGGCCAGGGAUUGAACCCCCACCACAGCAGUGACGAUGCCGGAUCUUGGAGUUCAGAGAACCCCCAAGAACUUUUUUCUUAGUGACUGAAGAACUAAUACAUGCACAUGGUUAAAAACUUCCAGGUUAAAAACUUCCAGCAAGAUGAAAAGCGUCACAGAGUCAAUGCUAAGCUUCCCUCCUGCUUAGCAAGUGAGCCUCCUUAGAAGCGAGCCUCUUUAGGAGCUCCCUUCAUGGCGCGGCAGAAACGAAUCUAACUAGGAACCAUGAGGUUGCAGGUUGCAUCCCUAGCGUCGCUCAGUGGAUUAAGGAUCCGGCGUUGCCGUGAGCUGUGGUGUAUAGUUUGCAGACGUGGCUCAGAUCUGCUGUUUCUCUGGCUGUGGUGUAGGCCAGCAGCUGUAGCUCUGAUUUGACCCCUACCCCGAGAACCUCCACAUGCUGCAGGUGUGCCCCUAAAAAAAAGCCAAAAAAAAAGAAAAGUGAACCUCUUUAGAAGCAGCCACUAUUAUCAUUUUUUGGCGCGUCCUUCAUGAUAUAGUCCGAGCGCAUGUGCGCACAGGUGUGUGUGUGUGUGUGUGUGUGUGUGUGUGUGUAGAGAUCUUCCUUAUACAUGAAUGGGAACACGUAGGAAAUUCCAAAAGAACUACAAACCAUCUGAAGCCUUUGUCGCCCAUCAAAUGGCAAACCUGGAUGAGUCUCUCCUGACUUUGAGGAGCCUAAACUCCAAACCCACCUGCCAUGAGCUAUGGGCCCCCAGCUUGAGAAGCUACCCUGUGGGUUGGUUGGACUCAACCCGGAGAAUGCUCAGGUCUGCGGGAAUGCACCAGUAACUAACUAGUAAUUGGUCAACCUACCUUUACUGAGCACUCUCCAGGGACAGGUGCUAGGCCAAGCGAGUUACAGGCACCACCUGGUCCAACCUUCAUAACCACCUCAGGAGGUAAGGACGGAUUUUUUUUUUAAUCCCCAUUUUGUAGGAAAAACAAAAAACAAAAAACCCUAAGGUCCAAGAAGCAAAGCAAAUUGUCCCGGGUUACGAAGUUGAUAAGCCGUACAUAGCUUGGAUGCAAAUGCACUUCUCCCCUGUUCAGCAUUUGGGGGGACACACAUAACAGGAGGAGAGCUGCAGGUCAUAUGACGCAGGUAUUCAUCCCCAGCAAGGCUGGCCGACUGCAAGGAACACACAACCAGGCAAAUGGGUGAGAGGCUGAAGCUAAAACCUUUGGUUUGGCACCCAAGACCCAUGCUUUUGAUUUCCACCGAAACAGGUAACAACGGAACACAGCAGGGCCCUCCUGAGAGGUCAGAUUUAUAUUAGCUAGUUUCACCCUCCAGCAGCCCUAAAGUAGGUGUCAUAAUCCACCCUUAACCAAUGACAAAACAAGGUUGAUGGAGGCCUGGAAGCCGAGUGACCUUCCCAAGUUAUCUGAGGUGAUAGGACAGUGAUUGGUCCUCAGACCCAGGGCAGAAUUCUUCCCACUCAGCCACAGCAAACCUCAG
rnacentral:lncRNA from 1 species